CUUUGUUAUCUGCAGUUUUAGAAGCUAUUUCUGAGAGCGUAGCACAAAGUGAGUUGGCCUCAGAGAAAAGAACUUUUUUUUUUUUUUUAAACUGUUACAUUGUCUUUCAAAUACACUUUGUCUUCCCAUAAGAUGGGAUCAAAGGGACGUGGUGAGCUAAGUGCCUGCAAUGGUCGAGUUUAGGUAGGUUGAAAGUUUUCUUUCCUCAUUAUUUCAGUGGAAGUCCUCAAAGGAAUCUCAGGGAAAGCAAGAGGAAGUCUACGUCAACCCUCAAAGCUUGGCAGAAGCAAACACGACAGAGCAUGCAUUGAUUUCUUAGAGAAACAAAGAAGAAACCAGGCUGUUCACAGAAAAUCUCCCUCUUUGUGAUGAAGCUGAGCGUCCAGGUAAUGCUUCAGAAGACUGCAUUGCACCAGGGGCACGGCUACGGGACAGUGUGGGUGACUUGCUGAUAUACUUGGCUAGAAGCUGACUUUCCAAAUUGCUUGCCAUAUAGAAAAGAAAUAAACGAAGCAUGUUAGGACA
rnacentral:lncRNA from 1 species